GUAAAAGUCGUAACAAGGUUUCCGUAGGUGAACCUGCGGAAGGNUCAUUAUUGAAUAAACUUGCACAGGCUGUUGCUGGCCCUCAAGGGUAUGUGCACGCUUGUCAUCUUUAUCUCUCCAACUGUGCACAUAUUGUAGACCUNGAGUCCCUGUUGAUUCAUUUCGAGUUGGGACUGCUGUGCUUUGUACUUCAGAGUCAGCUUUGCCUUUUUCAUACCCAGGUCUAUGUCAUUUUCACAACCUCUUGAAUGUGUUUAGAAUGUUGAAUCAGGUCUUUUUGUACCUAUAAAGUUAAAUAUACAACUUUCAGCAACGGAUCUCUUGGCUCUCGCAUCGAUGAAGAACGCAGCGAAAUGCGAUAAGUAAUGUGAAUUGCAGAAUUCAGUGAAUCAUCGAAUCUUUGAACGCAUCUUGCGCUCCUUGGUACUCCGAGGAGCAUGCCUGUUUGAGUGUCAUUUAAAUUCUCAACCACAUCAAUUUAUUUGGUGAGGCUUGGAUGUGGGGGUCUUUUUGCGGGCUUCUGUAAAUUUGAAGUCGGCUCCCCUAAAAUGCAUUAGUGGUAUCUGAGCAGAAGAAACUACUACAGGUGUGAUAAUUAUCUACGCCUCAGUAUCCUGCACAAUCAGAUUGUGCUGCUUCUAACGAGUGGAGAUUCCUUUUGGGGGACCACAUUUGUUGAAUUUGACCUCAAAUCAGGUAGGACUACCCGCUGAACUUA
rnacentral:rRNA from 1 species